rnacentral:rRNA from 1 species
UGGGGAAUAUUGGGCAAUGGAGGCAACUCUGACCCAGCAACGCCGCGUGAAUGAUGAAGGUCUUCGGAUUGUAAAGUUCUGUGACGGGGGACGAACACAAUGACGGUACCCCGAUAGCAAGCCACGGCUAACUACGUGCCAGCAGCCGCGGUAAUACGUAGGUGGCAAGCGUUAUCCGGAAUGACUGGGCGUAAAGGGUGCGUAGGUGGCCUAGCAAGUUGGUAGCGUAAUUCCGGGGCUCAACUCCGGCGCUACUACCAAAACUGUUGGGCUCGAGUGCAGGAGGGGUAAGUGGAAUUCCUAGUGUAGCGGUGGAAUGCGUAGAUAUUAGGAGGAACAUCGGUGGCGAAGGCGACUUACUGGACUGUAACUGACACUGAGGCACGAAAGCGUGGGGAGCAAACA